UACGAGAGGCCCAAACGUUUAUUCGGAUUUACUGGGCUUAAAGAGUUCGUAGGCGGUGCAGAAAGUGGGGUGUGAAAGCCCUCGGCUCAACCGAGGAAUUGCGCUCCAAACUACUGUACUAGAGGAAGCUAGAGGUGAGCAGAACAGAUGGUGGAGCGGUGAAAUGCGUUGAUAUCAUCUGGAAUACCGGAGGCGAAGGCGGCUCACUGGGGCUUUUCUGACGCUGAGGAACGAAAGCCAGGGUAGCGAACGGG
rnacentral:rRNA from 1 species